rnacentral:rRNA from 1 species
AGGUUACUGCUAUCGAGGUUCGACUAAGCCAUGCGAGUCGAAUGUAGCAAUACAUGGCGUACUGCUCAGUAACACGUGGACAACCUGCCCUUAGGACGGGGAUAAACCCGGGAAACUGGGUAUAAUACCCGAUAGGUCUCGAGUGCUGGAAUGCAUCGAGAUCUAAAGCUCCGGCGCCUAAGGAUGGGUCUGCGGCCUAUCAGGUAGUAGUGGGUGUAGUGUACCUACUAGCCUACGACGGGUACGGGUUGUGAGAGCAAGAGCCCGGAGAUGGAUUCUGAGACACGAAUCCAGGCCCUACGGGGUGCAGCAGGCGCGAAAACUUUACAAUGCUGGCAACAGCGAUAAGGGAACCUCGAGUGCCAGGUUACAAAUCUGGCUGUCGUGAUGCCUAAAAAGCAUUGCAUAGCAAGGGCCGGGCAAGACCGGUGCCAGCCGCCGCGGUAACACCGGCGGCUCGAGUGGUAACCGUUAUUAUUGGGUCUAAAGGGUCUGUAGCCGGCCGGAUAAGUCUCUUGAGAAAUCUGGCAGCUUAACUGUCAGGCUUUCAGGAGAUACUGUCUGGCUCGAGGCCGGGAGAGGUGAGAGGUACUUCAGGGGUAGGGGUGAAAUCUUGUAAUCCUUGAAGGACCACCAGUGGCGAAGGCGUCUCACCAGAACGGACCUGACGGCAAGGGACGAAAGCUAGGGGCACGAACCGGAUUAGAUACCCGGGUAGUCCUAGCCGUAAACGAUACUCGCUAGGUGUCGGCCACGGUGCGACCGUUGUCGGUGCCGUAGGGAAGCCGUGAAGCGAGCCACCUGGGAAGUACGGCCGCAAGGCUGAAACUUAAAGGAAUUGGCGGGGG